rnacentral:rRNA from 1 species
AGCGAACGCUUGCGGCAGGCCUAACACAUGCAAGUCGAACGAACUCUUCGGAGUUAGUGGCGGACGGGUGAGUAACACGUGGGAACGUGCCUUUAGGUUCGGAAUAACUCAGGGAAACUUGUGCUAAUACCGAAUGUGCCCUUCGGGCGAAAGAUUUCUCGCCUUUAGAGCGGCCCGCGUCUGAUUAGCUAGUUGGUGAGGUAAAGGCUCACCAAGGCGACGAUCAGUAGCUGGUCUGAGAGGAUGAUCAGCCACAUUGGGACUGAGACACGGCCCAAACUCCUACGGGAGGCAGCAGUGGGGAAUCUUGCGCAAUGGGCGAAAGCCUGACGCAGCCAUGCCGCGUGAAUGAUGAAGGUCUUAGGAUUGUAAAAUUCUUACACCGGGGACGAUAAUGACGGUACCCGGAGAAGAAGCCCCGGCUAACUUCGUGCCAGCCGCCGCGGUAA